AUUGAACGCUGGCGGCAUGCCUUACACAUGCAAGUCGAACGGCAGCGGACCUUCGGGUGCCGGCGAGUGGCGAACGGGUGAGUAAUAUAUCGGAACGUACCUUUCAGUGGGGGAUAACGUAGCGAAAGUUACGCUAAUACCGCAUAUUCUGUGAGCAGGAAAGCAGGGGAUCGCAAGACCUUGCGCUGAUUGAGCGGCCGAUAUCAGAUUAGCUAGUUGGUGAGGUAAAGGCUCACCAAGGCGACGAUCUGUAGCGGGUCUGAGAGGAUGAUCCGCCACACUGGAACUGAGACACGGUCCAGACUCCUACGGGAGGCAGCAGUGGGGAAUUUUGGACAAUGGGCGCAAGCCUGAUCCAGCAAUGCCGCGUGCAAGAAGAAGGCCUCGGUUGUAAC
rnacentral:rRNA from 1 species